rnacentral:rRNA from 1 species
UACGGAGGGAGCUAGCGUUGUUCGGAAUUACUGGGCGUAAAGCGCGCGUAGGCGGCUUUGUAAGUUAGAGGUGAAAGCCCGGGGCUCAACUCCGGAACUGCCUUUAAGACUGCAUCGCUUGAAUCCGGGAGAGGUGAGUGGAAUUCCGAGUGUAGAAGUGAAAUUCGUAGAUAUUCGGAAGAACACCAGUGGCGAAGGCGGCUCACUGGACCGGCAUUGACGCUGAGGUGCGAAAGCGUGGGGAGCAAACAGG